CCUACGGGUGGCAGCAGUGAGGAAUAUUGGUCAAUGGGCGGGAGCCUGAACCAGCCAAGUCGCGUGAAGGAAGAAGGUACUUAGUAUUGUAAACUUCUUUUGUCGGGGAACAAAGGCGGAGACGCGUCUCCGGAUGAGUGUACCCGAAGAAAAAGCAUCGGCUAACUCCGUGCCAGCAGCCGCGGUAAUACGGAGGAUGCGAGCGUUAUCCGGAUUUAUUGGGUUUAAAGGGUGCGUAGGCGGAGCGUUAAGUCAGUGGUAAAAUUGAGGGGCUCAACCCCUUCCCGCCAUUGAAACUGGGGCUCUUGAGUGGAAGAGAAGUAUGCGGAAUGCGUGGUGUAGCGGUGAAAUGCAUAGAUAUCACGCAGAACCCCGAUUGCGAAGGCAGCAUGCCGGCUUCCGACUGACGCUGAAGCACGAAAGCGUGGGGAUCGAACAGGAUUAGAUACCCGGGUAGUC
rnacentral:rRNA from 1 species